UUGAACAGGUUGAUACAUCUAGGAGUGAAAUACAUCACCGCUUUCCCUGCUCCCGCCGCCAUUAAAAUUGUGUUUGGCAUCUGACCACCAAGAUACAGAUAUUUCCUAGACUGUUUUGCAGCUAGGUACUUAGCAUUUCUCUUUCCUCUGGAGAAAAAUAUCUGCUUUCUUUAAAAUAAAUGUUCCAUCCAUGCAGCUAAGCAGCUAAGGACACGAACAGCCACUGAUACAGGCCAACUCAUCAGUAGAUUAUUGAGGAAUCAUUCUCUUCAGUCAGAUCACGAUUUGAGUUUGAACUAACCAGAGAGUAGCAGAAGGAACGUUUUCUCAUUUCCAUGUCCAGAAAGAUAUAUUCCUGCUACCCUCCUGAAGUCAGAGGAUGAAAUCAUAGUCAAUACAUCUUUGCAGAUAAACUAUUAGAUUUCAUACUAGGACCUUUCAUUGGCUGAACAAAGACAAAGACAGAAAUCAAGGAAGGUCAAAGAAGCAGUCAGUUUUCUGGCACCCAAAGUUGUUGGAGAAGGGUACAGAGUCGGUAAAUAAGUCAUAUGACAGACAGGCAGUAUUUUCUUAUUUUAAUAACAAGUUUAAAAAUCCCACUUCUUGUACUUACCUUCUGUCUGACGUCAUCAGUAUUUUAAAAUGCCAACUGGGAUCAAGUUCAACACUGCAUUACUGAAGAAUCCAGAUUAUCUACAUUUCAAGUGCCAAAUGAAAGAAAGAACCCAGAAAAUAAAAC
rnacentral:lncRNA from 1 species